GAGGAAGGGAUGAAAAGGAAGAAAGAAAACGUCCGAUGACAAAAUGACCCACUUUUUCGUCUGUUUCUUUCUUUCUUUUUUUUUUUUUUUUUUUCUUUUUUCCAUUAUUUUUUCUUUUCCAUAAUUU
rnacentral:ribozyme from 12 species